rnacentral:rRNA from 1 species
AACUUGGGCAAAGUUGUAGCUGGCCUUAGCAAUGGGGCAUGUGCACACUUUGUUCAUCCACCCUUCACACCUCUGUGCACUUCUCAUGGGUUUGGGUUGCGUCUGAAAAUAUGACAAAGCUCCUUCUCAUGUGUUUUAACCACACACUAUACAAGUUUUAGAAUGUAACAAUCAUGCAUUAAUGCAUUAUAAUACAACUUUCAGCAACGGAUCUCUUGGCUCUCGCAUCGAUGAAGAACGCAGCGAAAUGCGAUAAGUAAUGUGAAUUGCAGAAUUCAGUGAAUCAUCGAAUCUUUGAACGCACCUUGCGCUCCUUGGUAUUCCGAGGAGCAUGCCUGUUUGAGUGUCAUGGUAUUCUCAACCCUGCUACAUUUUUUUGUAGUUGGGCUUGGACUUGGAGGUUUAUUGCUGGUGUUCUUUUUUUGAACAUUGGCUCCUCUGAAAUGCAUUAGCUGGAAUGUUACCGAGCAUGAUUCAAUGUGAUAAUUGUCUACGUUGCUUCAUCUUUGUAUUAAUUCUGUUUCAGCUUUCUAAUCGUCUUUACAGACAAUAUCUUGAACAUCUGACCUCAAAUCAGGUAGGACUACCCGCUGAACUUAAGCAUAUCAAUAAGCGGAGGAAAAGAAACUAACAAGGAUUCCCCUAGUAACUGCGAGUGAAGCGGGAAAAGCUCAAAUUUAAAAUCUGGCAGCUUUGGCUGUCCGAGUUGUAGUCUGGAGAAGUGUUUUCUGUGCUGGACCGUGUACAAGUCUCUUGGAACAGAGCGUCGUAGAGGGUGAGAAUCCCGUCUUUGACACGGACUCCCAGUGCUUUGUGAUGCGCUCUCAAAGAGUCGAGUUGUUUGGGAAUGCAGCUCAAAAUGGGUGGUAAAUUCCAUCUAAAGCUAAAUAUUGGCGAGAGACCGAUAGCGAACAAGUACCGUGAGGGAAAGAUGAAAAGCACUUUGGAAAGAGAGUUAAACAGUACGUGAAAUUGCUGAAAGGGAAACGAUUGAAGUCAGUCGCGUUGGCCGGAACUCAGCCUGGCUUUUGCCUGGUGCAUUUUCUGGUGAACGGGCCAGCAUCAAUUUUGAUCGCUGGAUAAAGGCCUUGGGAAUGUGGCACCUUCGGGUGUGUUAUAGCCUUUGGUUGUAUACAGUGGUUGGGAUUGAGGAUCACAGCAUGCCUUUAUGGCCGGGGUUCGCCCACGUUCAUGCUUAGGAUGCUGGCGUAAUGGCUUUAAACGACCCGUCUUGAAACACGGACCAAGGAGUCUAACAUGCCUGCGAGUGUUUGGGUGGAAAACCCGAGCGCGCAAUGAAAGUGAAAGUUGGGAUCCCUGUCGUGGGGAGCACCGACGCCCGGACCAGACCUUUUGUGACGGAUCCGCGGUAGAGCAUGUAUGUUGGGACCCGAAAGAUGGUGAACUAUGCCUGAAUAGGGUGAAGCCAGAGGAAACUCUGGUGGAGGCUCGUAGCGAUUCUGACGUGCAAAUCGAUCGUCAAAUUUGGGUAUAGGGGCGAAAGACUAAUCGAACCAUCUAGUAGCUGGUUCCUGCCGAAGU